UGACAGAGGCACAAUGAGUUUAGGUGUUAGAUGAUACAAUGAUGGACCAUGCAUAUUAAGGAUGAGGAGAUAGAUGAAGAGAGGAGACUUGUGGAUAGAGAGAAAGCAGAAAAAACAAACAGCAUGUAUAAAGGCCCUGAGGCAGGAAAGGUUUGGUGGGUUGGCGGCACUAGGAGACGUCUAGAUUGAGCACACUGUUUGCAGGCUGGAGUCACAAGUUGGCUGUUCUUCCAUUUAUUCCUCACCUCAGUGUCUCUGGUGGUCAACCCAAUAUCUACUUGUAGCAAAUGCUCAGUAAAUAUUUAUUGAAUGAAUCUAGCUUUAUCUGUGUUAUAGCUAGUGAAUUUCCAUCAAAUUUUCUGUCCUCUAGAUGGCACCCUUCCAUAGUUUAAAGAGGUGACGGAGACUUUUUUUUUUUUUAAUUUAAUAAUACAUAGUGGAAAAACUUGCUUAAAUUUUCUGCACCUCAAUGUCCUCAUCUGUAAAAUAUAGGUAUACAAAUAACACCUACCUCAUAGGUGGUGGUAAGGUUUCAAUUGAGCAAAAUAUGUGAAGCAUUCAGCUUUUGACUUAGUAGUCGAUCAAUACCUAUUACCCAAUAUUUAUUCAUUCUAUUGUGAUAGGUAUUAUUUCAGUCUGUGAGAUGGCCCAUGUUCUGUGUUCAUGUUAUAUCUUGCCCAGAAAUAUUUCAGUUGUACUGGAAAUUUCUAAUUUGGAGGACACCCAAAACCCUUUUCCCAUUUGAAUUGUACACUGAGAUGCUACCCCUUCCCCAUUCUGUGUCCAGGUGUUCUGAGUGGGACAUCUACCACCAGUUACAGACUAGCAACCCUGGGGGCUCAUGUCAAUACUUGUAUUUGGGUGUGCAACAUCACAGAGUGUGCGGAAAGGAAGCCUAACCGGAACUGAUGAAAUAUGCAAUAAUUAGGGGCCUUUGCCUUUUCUCUGUGGAAACUACUAGAGGCCAUUAAUUUUCACCACAAUAAAAGAGAUGAGGUCGCGAAGUCUAUAUCUAUGGAAACCACUGCUGCUAGAAGAAAAGCUGAGAGAUCCUUCAAGGGGAGCCUGAGGGUCAAGAAGAUUAGAACGGAGAAAAGCUUAAGAAUGAAGUUCUAGGUGAUCUUUCUUGAGCCACUGGGCUCAUCCUGCCUGAAAUUAUUUCUGAUCUUUUGCAUUAUGUGAGCUAGUGCAUUUUCAUUUUUAGUCUAAACUAGUUUAAGUUGGAAUUUUGUUACUUGAGUACCGUCUUAAUUUAUACACAGUUUUCUCUGAGAAUGUGAUUUUGCCCACCUUAUGUUAAAUACAUAUUGACAGAAAUAGAAUUACUCUUUCAGUAAUUUUACCCAGAAAUUUCACUGCUAUAAUAAUCAAUGGAUACUAUGCUAUUAGGUAGGACAUAUACUCAGUUUUUUCCAGUAUAAAUCAAACUCUGGGAUAACAGAGUCUUUUAGAAAUUAGUGGCUCUCUUAAUAGUUAUGCUGUGGUGCCCAUGGGCUAGCCCUGGAUAAAUGACGUUUCUACAUACAAAUUUGUUUUUAUUCUAUAGCUUCUUUUACUUUUUAAGGUACCACAAGAACAUUACUGAAAUCUAUUAUCAUCCACUUAUAAAUCUGAGUUGAGUUUUUUGCUAUUUAAUAUCUAUUAUUUAAUUUCUACCUUUCCGUUAGGUCUAAAUUUUGAGAGACCAGGGUUUUUAUUACUCACAGAGGAAAUAUUCGAAGUGGAAGGAAUUUUGGAAUCAGACAGAACUGGGUUCCAAUCUCAGCUCUGCGACUUGCUAGCUCAGUGAACUUGGACUAGUUAUUUAACUCUGAGCCUUAAUUUUUUUUCCCCCCAAAUUGAGUGAUUAGAAACUUCCAGAAAGAGAAAUGCAUGAGGAAUACUGAGGCAGCAUACAGAGCUCUUAGUGCACAUUAAGGUUCCUAAAGGCUUUUACCAAGUACUAUUUUCCUCUUCCCAAUUAGUGCAUUUAGCUUUGUCUCCAGACAUUUUAGUGAGAAGGCAUGCCUAGCAGAUAUAUUGUUCUUUGAACUAAAAUAGUAAAUGUUUUUCUUUGUUUAUUGAUUUCUACAAGCUCAGUGAGAAGGAGCUAAUGGGUGUUUAGAUUAGACCGUGUUCAUGGCUAAUUCGAUGCCAUGUUUAUGAAUUACUUUGAAGUAGCAUAGCUAUGGAUGAUAGGAAUACCUGUAUUUCUUAGCAUACUGUACAUUUAGAAUUAUGGGAAGCUUAGAAAGCCAAUGAACCCCUCUCCUAUCAUAAUGUCCAUACAUCCGUUUUUCUAUGUAUUCUUUCAGUUCCAUUGGAGAAUUUCGUCUUUAUGUUUUUUGCAUUUAUUUUUAAACUUUGUGUUACUGUGUAGCUCAUAAUAAGGAAAAUUUGACAAAAUGUACCCAUUCAUGCUGUAAACUAUGAUCCAUAUUUAAUAUGAGCUGCGAGAGAGAAGUGGCAUCACCCCCCCUCCCGUUUUAUUCCUAUUAUUGAAGCAUUCUCCACAUUUGGAUCCCCAAUUUGAAGAGUUUUAUUCUUGACAGUAAUUUUUAUAUAAAUGUCUGGAAUGGUCUUCACGCGAAAUACUUUUUGCUUUCCCACUGGAUCUCAGUGCUAACUUCGACAAUCAGAAACCAUGUAAAAAUCUCCCAAUUGCAUACCCUGCCUAGUGGUCUGAUGGACAUGACCUCUUCAUGCCAGCAUCCCUCCUCAGUUCCCAGCAGGAGAGUGAGCUGGGGCAGCCUAGGAAUCUUCUUAAACAGAUGGCUAAACAUGUGCAAGUUUUUUUUUUUAUUAUUUUAUUUUUUAGGGCCUCGCUUGCAGCUUAUGGAAGUUCCCAGCCAAGGGAUUAAAUCGGAGCUGUAGCCGCUGGCCUACACCACAGCCACAGCAACUCACGAUCUGAGCCGCCUCUGUGACCUACACCACAGCUCAUGGCAACGCUGGAUCCUUAACCCACUGAGCAAGGUGAGGGAUCGAACCUGCAUCCUCAUGGCUACUAGUCAGGUUCGUAACCUGCUGAGCCACAACGGGAACUCCUAAACAUGUCCAAGUUUGUUUGUUUUCUAUUUUUUAAAGUUUUAUUGAGGUAUAGCUGAUUUACAAGGUUGUGAUAAUUUCUACUUACAGCAAAGUGAUUCAGUUACACAUUACACACAUCCAUUCUCUUUCAGAGUCUUUUCCCAUAUAUAUCAUCACAGAAAAUUGCGUAGAGUUCUCGGUGCUGUACAGCAGGUCCCCAUUAGCCAGUCACUCCGUACAGCUCAGUGUGCAUAUGCCAAUCCUAACCCCUAGUCCAUCCCUCCCCCACACCUGUCCCCACUGGUAACCAUAAGCUUUUCCAAGUCUGUGAGUCUUUUUCUGUUCUGCAAAUAAGUUCAUUUGUAUCCUUUUUUUUUUCUUCAGAUUCUACAGAUAAGUGAUAUCAUAUGAUGUUGGGCUUUCACUGUCUGACUAAUUUUACUUAGCAUGAUAAUUUUCAAGUUUGAAUUUUUCUGAAAACUGGUAUAAUUAUACGAAGGACUUAGCUGUCCUUUUUUAUUGUUCUGGUUGAAUUCGGGAGGGAGAAAUAAGCUCCUGAAAAUUAGUGAAGACAAGCAGGACAGCAAGACACUCUCACCCAAGGUGUCUCUUUAUGUGUAAUGAUAGUUGCAAUUUAUGGCCCAGAGGCAAGAUGGCAUGAUGAUUAGAAGCGUGGCCUGUGUGCUGCCUUGGCUGGAACCCAGAUCUGCCACUUAUCAAGUGUGUGGCGUUGGAAGGGGACCCUCCCUGUGUGCGUCUGUGAAACAGAGAUACAAAAAACAGGUACUUGGAGUUCCUGUUGUGGCUCAGAGGGUUAAGAGCCUGACAUAGUGUCUGUGAGGAUGUGGGUUCAAUCCCUGGCCUCACUCAGUGGAUUAAGGAUCCUUCAUUGCUGUGACUAUGGCAUAGGCUGGCAGUUGCAGGUCUGAUUUGACCUCUAGCCUGGAGACUUCCAUAUGUUGCAAGUCCAGCCAGAAAAAGAAAAAACAAAAACAACCAAAACCAAAACAAAGCAACAAACAAACAGGCCCUACCUCAUAGAUUCUUAGGAGGAGUCUUAAAGCUAAAUGAAAUAAAUGUAAUUAGAAUAGUGCCUGGCAUAUUGUAAAUGCUCAAGAAUUUUAGUUUUCAGGAGUUCCCUUGUGGUGCAGUGAAUUAAGGAUCUGACGUUAUCACUGCUAUGGCUUGGGUCACUGUUGUGGCAUGGGUUCAAUCCCUGGCCCAGGAAAUGCCACAGAUGCAGCCCCCCAAAAUUGUCAGUUUUGGUUAUUAUUGUGUUUCUGGACAUUUAAUUUAACAAUACUCUGAGCAGAAACUUCAAAUAAAUAAAUUCAAAAUAUGCUGACUAAAUACAAGUAAAUGUAAUUUCAGGAUGCCAAUGAAUUUAGUUAUAUGGAAAUCAGUGAGAAGAUAUUUUAUAUUAAUUUACAUCAAUUGAAAUGAGGAUUGUUGAGUCUCAUGAAAAUUUUUAUAGAAAUCAUUUCUUCAGAAAUUCCUUCAUAUGCACAGGAAAAAAGCACUUUACUAACAGAGCCUAAAGGAUAAAAGGGACAAAAGCAUUUUGACUCCCAAGUGCUUUUGUUAUUCUCCUGUAAAUGGAAUCCUUUGUCCUGCUCAAACUACUCCAGUUCUCUCUUUAACUCCUUUCUUAAUCAAAACUGUUGAAAGAAUUGUCUCUCCUUGAGGCUAUACUUUAUUACAGGCCGUUUUUUUUUUCUGGACCUAAGGUAACUUCAGUUCACUGCUCCUCUUCUCUUGCAGAAGCCGUCAGAAAAGCUGGGGCUACUAAACCCCAGCAGAUCGGGAGUUCCUGUUGUGGUUCAGCAGUAAUGAACCCCACCAGUAUCCUGUGGUGUAGGCUGGGAGCUGCAGCUCCCUAGCCUGGAAACUUCCAUAUGCCAUUGGUGCUGCCCUAAAGAAAAAAAAAAAAGAGACUCCAACAGAUUCUUUUUGGUCAUUGCUAAUGGAGGCUUUAAAGCUUCCAAGCUUCCAGCCUAGCAAAUUUGUGCUCACUCUUCACUCAGGCUUUCCUCCACCAUCCUCAUAAACCUCACAACCCUCUGUUGUACCUUAGGGUAUUUUAAUAACUCAUUCCUGUCCAUAGCUUAUACUUUGUGAGCCUCUCUCUGGAAGGCAUGGAGUUUUAUUUCAAUACUUCAGAAUUUUCAGAGCUUCUUAUCCAGUAAGCAUGUAGUUGUCUCUGUAGAGAUUUAUUAAAUGAAUCAUCAGAUUCUAUGAUGACAUUCUAUUUUCAAUCAGGUGCAUAUUUUAAUUUUAAUACACAUUAUGCGCAAGUACAUUUCCAAAGUUUUGUUCUUAUAUUUUUAUGCAUAAUCUAUAGAAACAAUAGAGAAACACUGUAAAUUUACAAUGUUUCAACUGAGGUAUUUAAGGGCCUUGUUAUCCAAGCACAUAGGCCCUCAAUGGAAAGCAAGAAAGAAAAAAAGAAGGAAGGAAAGAAAGAAAGAAAGAUAGAAAGGAAGGAAGGAAGAAAGGGGGGUUUAAACGUGAAUGACAGAAAAAUGAUAGACAAACAUGGGACUAAAUAAAUAUGAAUGACCUGGCCCCAGUAAAUGAGACCUUUUAUCAUGAAUGUUCUGAGUCAUCUCCCUGAUGGUUAUUUCACAGGGGUUCAAUCCACAUUUUCUUCCAUAUCUUCAACUUUCUCCAACCCAUCAGGAUGAUUAGUUCAUUACUGAGAAUACACCCUGGGUUUCUACUCUUAUUUUUCACUCUACUGCUUCCUUUAUCAGAAUGUCUUUAGCCCUCUAU
rnacentral:lncRNA from 1 species